UUUCAGUGGCGUGUGUGCAGAAGGAAAUACCUGAACAAAACAUGUUUCCAGCUGACGUCUUCCCUGGGUGUUUCACAUUCCAACAGAGCAAAUGGGGCUGGAUGGAGCCUGGAAGCAGCCGUGGCUGAUGGAGGGAUCCAGCCUGAGGUUCAUCUCCCAGAGCCAUGUAAGGAGCCGGGGACGGUGGCAACCAGUAUGACUCCAGUCUCAGAGUUAACCACAACUGCUCCAGCCUUCACUGAAAGCACAAAAAUAUACAUCCAGCCAUGGAAAAUGUUUCUUCUUUGCUUUGUCCUCGCAAAUCUCCCUCUGGCUGUUGGACACAGCAAGUCUGGCAGGGACAGGGCUGUGCUGAGUCUUGUUACGCUCAGCUGGUGUCCUGGCCACCGAGAACCUGAAG